CUGUAUGAAAUGGUUAAUUAUUUCCUAAAAGUCGUGCAACAGGAACAAGAAGCUACCCAAAGCAUUAAAUGCUUGUUUAAAACAAGAGCACAGAUAUCAGCUAAGACUGAAACGAGGAAUUUCCACUUUAUAGAUUGUUUCACAUGGACUGUGGUUUAUCAUCAUUUCAGCAAGUACUCGGUCUGUAAGACCCAUCACCAAUAUUUUCCCCUACAAUUCUUUUUAUCAGAACUAUACAAAGUACGAAGAUGGUGAGGAUGCAGAUGGAAUUGUGUCUAACUGCAUGUUACUGAGGAAUGAUUCCAUACUGGGAGUUUACCACAAAGAAAAAGCAAAUCCCUCCUCAGGAAUGCUGGGGACGAGC
ensembl:lncRNA